rnacentral:pre_miRNA from 1 species
GCGGCGGCGGCGGGCAAGAUGGCGGCGGGCCGGGGCACCGCCUCUUCCGCCGCGCCGGGCGUCGCA